rnacentral:lncRNA from 10 species
GAUUGGAAAGGCAGACUGGGAAAGGAAUGACACUUUGGAAAUUUACUUUGAGAAAUGUCUGUAUUAUUAAACAGAAUAAGGUUUUCAUUUCUGUAUUCUUUCAGCAAAGCUACUAAUCUGAGCAACGUGGAAUUAAAAUUGUAGACUAAUAAAAGCCACGCCUCGAGAGCCCAGCUCCGGGACCCUGGCACCAGGGGAAGCUCCCAUGACAGAUUACUGUGGUCUCUUGCAUGCUGCUAUAGAUUGCAAUACUGAGACCAUGAUAACCUGCCACUCCCCAAAAUAUUCUUGUCUUGCCUACUUGCUCAAAUAUUGGAGGAUCUGAAGAAAUUACGAAGAAGUUUUGAUCCUUAGUAAUCAGUGAGGAUUGUCCAGAAAAAUAGAACCAAUAGGAUGUGCGUAUAUAUAUGUAAAUGAAAGAGAUUUAUUUUAAAGAAUUGGCUUAUGAGAUUUUCCAGACUUGGUGUGUCCAAAUUCUGAUGAGGAAGCCUGGAAGGCUGAAGACUUAGGAAAGAGUUGCAAUUUGUGUCCAAAGGCAGUCUGCUGGUGAGCCAGGAAGAACUGAUGUUGCAGAUGAAAUCUAAAGGCCCACAGUAGUGGUAACCCCACUUUCCAGGCCCACCAUGUUGGCAAUCCCACCCUUUCUGCUCUGAGAAGAGGGCCAGUCCCUCUGAAUCCAAGGAGAUGACCCCACUCUCUGGAACCAAGCAGGAGAUGGUCCCAUACACAGGGUGAAGCACAAAGGAGAUUCUUGCAAGAUUUGGAAGACCUAGGGAAGGAAGUGACAUUUUAUGGCUGACCUAUGCUGUUGCUGAUCUGCUGCAUCAUUUCAAUGGCAUAAAGCAGCAUCUAGAUCUGCGGUUGUUUAGCCUUUUCUGGAUUCAUCUUCAGUUUUUUGACCCCUGAGCCAGACUCAGAGUUCACCUCCUCCAGGAAGCCUUCCUUGAGACGCCAUUGCUCACCUGGCUCUACUUGCUUGACCAGAAGUACUUUAAAGAUUAUAUCUUUACAUUUUGUAUCUGCAGGACUUGAAAUAUAAUGAACAUUCCAGACAUAAUUGAUGAAUAAAAUAACAUCCAAUCCCUUCAUUUUAUAGAUUGGUUGAUGAAGACCUUGGACUUUUGGCCAAGAUUGAACAUCUACAGUGGAGAUUAUUUAGUGCUGUUUUCUAUUCACAGGCCUAGCCACUCCAACCUGUCUGUUGUCUUUACAUCAUAGGACUUUACCCAAGGUGCACUCUAUAAUACAUGCCAGUCCAAAUAUACAUUCUGACAGACAAUCUAGCUGCCCACAUCUGUCAGAUGGCUCUUUCUGUGACAACUGAGGAUAAGAAUUUUUUUCUUUAAGAAUUAGAGCUAAAUAUUAUGAAAUAUAAUCUAGACUUCAAGAAACUUUGACAGUUACCUGUAUCACCGUCUGUGGAUGAAUAAAAAUCUCUUUGACAUCUAAGACAAAAUGGCCAUUCACCAUCUAUCUGAAAAUUCUAGUGAGGACAGCCAUACUUUCUGAGGCAUGUUGAAUGGCUAACAUUUUAGAAUUCUUCCUUACAUUGGCUGAAAUAUGACUGAAGUUUCACAGAUUUACCCUUAUUCCUCAUGAUAAAAGUACAGAAGUUUGUUAAGUGUCCUUGGUGACAGGUUGGUCAAGAUUGGACCUUCCAUAGGAUUACUUAGUCUCACAUCCCCUCAUGGCUACGGAUCUCAUAAGGAUGGGUCUGAACAUCAAAAAUAUCACUGUUUUUAUUCAGGUACUGACAGCGCCAUAUAAAUAUGGCUUAAAGCAUGGCUAUAAGAAGAGUGAAUAUUCUAAUGACCUGUCUUGAGUGAAGCUGAUGAGACUGUAUUUUGAGUCUUACUGUACCUGUUAAGGCUAUGCAGCGUAUUUAGAGAGAAAUGUGGAAUUUGUUAUAUAAAGGUAAGUUUAAAUAGGGUGCUAAUAUCUAUGAAGGUCAACUUUGUUAAUUCAACACAAAUAAAAAUCCAAGCCAUGGUCAUUCAGCACACAUAAAGUCUAAGUAAUUUCAAAUAAAAUUACUGCUUGGCUGAAUGCUUAAGCAAUUUUGGAUUGCUGGAGUGAAUCAAAGAAUACUCAUAAUGUAAGCUCAUUAGAUUCACAGAGAGAUAUGCUGAUUUAAUUCAAGUGUUCUGCUGUCCAUUUAAACUUCACCUUCUUUUCUUACUUUGGAUUACUAGAUGUUUUUGUUAAUCUUAUUUGACAAGCUGCAUCUAGUCUUAUGAAUUUAACCUUUUUGUGAAUUGUCUUUGCUAUUAAAAAUUCUGUAACUGUCAAUCACUUGAAUCAUGUGGAGUUAUGAAAAAUGUCUGAUCCUUGAAUGUAUAUCUUUUCUCUCUCCAUCUGUAAUAUCUUACUAUGUACAGAAUAAAUUAGAAACUUAUCUGUGAUGUUAAUAUUUCUGAUAGCUUAAAUAUGUCACUUUACAUACGAUUUAUAUGUAAAAUGAUUUCUAAAUAUGAUAAAAUGUAUCCCAGACUUAAUAGAGGUUUAGCUGAUAUUUUGGCUCAGCUUUUAUUUUUUUAAUUAAUUAAUUAAUUAAUUAAUUAAUUAAUUUGUUUUUGAGACAGAGUCUUGCUCUGUCACCAGGCUGGAGUGCAGUGGCACGAUCUCAGCUCACUGCAACCUCCACCUCUUGGGUUCAAGCGAUUCCCCUGCCUUAGCCUCCCAAGUAGCUGGGAUUACAGGCAUGCACCACCACGCCUGGCAAAUUUUUUGUAUUUUAGUAGAGACGGGGUUUCACCAUGUUGGCCAAGACACUCUCGAUCUCCUGACCUCGUGAUCCACCCACCUCGGACUCUCAAAGUGCUGAGAUUACAGGCGUGAGCCACCACGCCCGGCCAGCUUUUAUUUUAUAGUUUGGUGUUUCUAUGGGAGAUUUAGGGGGAAACCUUAGUUUCUUCUUUUGUCACAUAAUGUUUCCCGCCAUAUAGGAAAAGAUAAUAUUUUAAAAAAUUACAAAAUUACCCUAAAAAGGAGUUCCCUUUUCUUAAGAUACAUACAAGUUUUCACUCAGAAAAGUUGAAUAUUUUAUAUAUAUCUCCGGGAUUUUAGAUUUUUCACUUCAUGGACUGCAUGAUAAAUCUCAUUAAAUCCAUUUGAGAAAAGGUCUGUUCCUCUGUUUAAGAAUUGUUUGAAGACUUUGCAGGAAAUGAUAGUGUGGUAGUAGAUAAAUUCUAUCCCCUGCUUCACCUCUAACCACUGCACUCUUAGACCACGGACAACUUAUAAAAAUAAACUAUCACGUUGUAUUCAAUUAUUCAGGCAAGUGGAGGUUGUAAACCACCCUCUCCCUAAUUUCUCUGCCUCCAACAUAUUAAAACUACCACAUCUUGGCUCCAAGGAUUCAUGGACUGUUGAAUUUGCCCCUACCAAGCAGAGAUGGUGGACAGCAUUAUGAAUAAUAGCUGAUUUUAUUUUAAGUGGGAAUAAAGAGAACUAUAAAAAUCCUUUAACUGUUCCCUCCUACUUAUUAGUGUCUCAAAAUUUUUGACUCAUAACACAUAGAAAAAUCACAAGAUUUGCUUCAAAACAAAAAUAUUAAAAUAUUAAAACCCCAAGUGCAUGGUUUUCUAUAACGUAAUUCAGUUAUUGUAAACUCUGCUUUGUCUCAUAGGAAUACAGUUAUUCACUAAGAACCUUCAGAAGAAAGGAAAAAUAAACAUAUAAAUGUUAAGAUUUGUCCCAUUUCAUACCUCAUCUAGCAUGGUUUUUUUUCAAAUUACUACAUACAUGGCCCUUUUUUUUGCUAGAACUCUUUCCCCUGGAGACUGAAUUGUAGAGAUAACACAGAAUGGAAUGAUUUUUAUUUUAUAAUUAAAGACAGCUUCUUGGGUGUUAUAAUAAUGGUAAAAUAUAGACUGUGUCUAAAGCAAAAUACAGCAAACAAAUGCAAUAUUGGGGCUAUCUGGGCUUAAAAUGCAUUUUCUAUUGUAAUUACCUAACCAUUUCAGCAAAAAAGGGAAUUUUAUUAAGAUUUGAGUUAACUCAUUUAAUCUGGCCAUCUAUCGUUGUCAUUUUAAAUAUCCAUUUCAUUUUGAGUAUUUGGGCACACAUUUUGUUUAUAGGUACAUGGGAAAAUCUAGCACAUAAUUAAUAUAUUAAACUGGCUGUCUUUAUAUCACAACAUAGUCUAUUUAAUCUAUUAUGUUGUUUAACCAAAACCAAACUAUAAAAAGCAAGCAUGGAUAUAGUAGAUUUUUUCUCAGAAAAAAAGCUUGACUAUUAUUUUUAUGAAAUUGCAAAGAAUUACAAUAUUCUUUCACACUGCGUUUCAAGAAAAUGAGCAAAGGAUAUUUAUAGACAUGUUUUUGAUAGAUACCCCAGUGACAACGGAAGUCACUUUUAAAUUAUAAGGUAAAAUGUGAAACUAAUAGAUAAAAUUUGACAUGUUAAGAGUUGCAUCUUCCUCAAAUAUAAAGAUAAGAACCAAUGUAGUUUGAAAAUAGCAAAAGCGCUUUCACUAUCCUAUGGACAGAUAUUUUGGAAAACCUAUUACUUUUACCAAUUAAAUUUAAAACUGCACUGCCUGGUUGUUUCUUUGUUUAUAUAUUUGUAUUCCAUCUUAUUUUAAUAAAGUUUUAAGAGGAA